AUUGAACGCUGGCGGCAGGCUUAACACAUGCAAGUCGAGCGGAGAUGAGGUGCUUGCACCUUAUCUUAGCGGCGGACGGGUGAGUAAUGCUUAGGAAUCUGCCUAUUAGUGGGGGACAACAUUCCGAAAGGAAUGCUAAUACCGCAUACGUCCUACGGGAGAAAGCAGGGGAUCUUCGGCACUUGCGCGAAUAGAUGAGCCUAAGUCGGAUUAGCUAGUUGGUGGGGUAAAGGCCUACCAAGGCGACGAUCUGUAGCGGGUCUGAGAGGAUGAUCCGCCACACUGGGACUGAGAAACGGCCCAGACUCCUACGGGAGGCAGCAGUGGGGAAUAUUGGACAAUGGGGGGAACCCUGAUCCAGCCAUGCCGCGUGUGUGAAGAAGGCCUUAUGGUUGUAAAGCACUUUAAGCGAGGAGGAGGCUACUGAGACUAAUACUCUUGGAUAGUGGACGUUACUCGCAGAAUAAGCACCGGCUAACUCUGUGCCAGCCGCCGCCGUAAUAC
rnacentral:rRNA from 1 species